rnacentral:rRNA from 1 species
UCCUACGGGUGGCAGCAGUAGGGAAUAUUAGUAAUGGGCGAAAGCCUGAACUAGCAACGCCGCGUGUGCGAAGAAGGCCUUCGGGUUGUAAAGCACUUUUUGAGAGGAUGAGGAAGGACGGUACUCUCAGAAUAAGUCUCGGCUAACUACGUGCCAGCAGCCGCGGUAACACGUAGGAGGCGAACGUUAUCCGGAUUUACUGGGCGUAAAGCGCGUGUAGGUGGUUUGGUAAGUAGGGCGUGAAAGCUCCUGGCUCAACUGGGAGAGGCCGUUCUAAACUGCCGAACUAGAGGAUGGUAGAGGGAGGUGGAAUUCCGGGUGUAGCGGUGGAAUGCGCAGAUAUCCGGAGGAACACCAGUGGCGAAAGCGGCCUCCUGGACCAUUCCUGACACUCAGACGCGAAAGCUAGGGUAGCAAACGGGAUUAGAUACCCGAGUAGUC